UAACCAGCCAGAUUAGAAGGGUCUAGGAUUCCUUUGUAAGGCGCAGCAAAAAAAGACAAUCAGAUACAAUAUCAGGGAUCUUCCGGUAAGGCGUCUGGCUACCAUUAGUUUUGAAUACUGAGGAUUUGAGGAGAAAAAUGGCUGUGAGUUUUGAAAUGACUUUGAGAAUUUCUUGGAUUUGUUGCCUGCUAAUUGGAGGGAUAAACUGUUAUCCUCCACCUAAAGGUAAUUAUAGAUAUAUUCCCCAAAAUCAAUUAAAAGGAAUUGGCCACAAUGCAGCGGUAGCUACCAGCUCCCGUGCCUCGGCAGGUGAAGCUACCGGAUCCCGUGUCUCGGCAGGUGAAGCUACCGGAUCCCGUGUCUCGGCAGGUGAAGCAGCCACCCGUAAUGCCACUGCAAGCGUCACGACUGGCCCAAAUACCUUAGCUGAAGCAACUAGCCACAAUGCUUCAUCAAGCGUCACGACUGGCCCAAAUACCUUAGGUGAAGCAACUGGCCAUGGUGCCUCGGUAGUGGAAGCAACUGGGCACAGUGCCAUGCCAGUGGCCACCCAUAAUGCCUCGGAAGCGGCCACCCACAAUGCUUCAUCAAGCGUCACGACUGGCCUAAAUACCUUGGGUGACAUAUCCGACCCAAGUGCCUCAGCAGAAGCAGCAACCCAUAAUACCUCAGCAAGUGCCACGACUGGCCCAAAUGCCUUACGUGAAGAAGCUGGACACAGUGCCUCGACAGCGGAAGCAACUGGCCAUAAUGCCUCGGAAGCGGCCAUCCAUAAUGCUUCAUCAAGCGUAACGACUGUCCCAAAUACCUUAGGUGAAGAAACCGGCCACAGUACCUCAUCAAGUCGGUACCUCAUCAAAUCUGGUUCAAAUGCCUCGGCGGAAGCCACAGGAGCCCUUGCCUCGGCGGAAGCCACAGGCGCCCUUGCCUCGGCGGAAGCCACAGGCGCCCUUGCCUCGGCGGAAGCCACAGGCGCCCUUGCCUCGGCGGAAGCCACAGGCGCCCUUGCCUCGGCGGAAGCCACAGGCCUCGAACAGGAGGGCCAACUCCUCAAGCAACAUGGAUUUUAGCAGCAGUGGUGUUUCUCAGGAUUUUGGGUCUGAUGGGGCCAAUGAAAGUACCCAAUGUCUCAGCUCCAUCAGCGUUCAAGGCAGCAUCGUUGAAUAGUCAGUUCUCAUCCCAAUAUAUUUACAAAUCUGUGUAUGAGAAUGGCAAGACUGUCUACUCCCAAACCUGCCACACCACUGGGGAGGUUAUACCAUUUUGAUAGCGGAGAUACUCUCAAGGACGUUGGCAUCUCUGAACCAAGCAUAUCCCCACCUGCUAAAAACUCACAACCUGCUAAAGGUGCCCUGCCACAAGGGAAGUCUACUGGGAUGUAAUGUGCAACUUUUACACUCACCUGCACUUUGCGUUCUGAUUUAGAAAUCAUUUGUACUAAUCAUCUAUCAACAGAAUUGCAAUGGUAGAUUCAUCCUUUAGAUGACAAAUCCAAGUUGUUGCUGACACUUUCUUUAAGCUUCCACUGUAUGCUUUUGCGUCGGCCAGGGAGAUGCUGCUGCUCAUGCUACCCUGCAUUACUUGUAAAACAAUAAAAUAUUGUACUUUAAGUGCCUCCUUGUGUUUUGAAAUACUGUGUGUUUAAUGUCUACCUUUGGCUAGCUGGUUGAGAACCGUGUUGGUUGCCAGUGCAAUUUGUAGUAAAAGGGAAUGUUCCUAUUCUUUUGGAUUUGAAAUAUAUAAUUUAUUUUCUUUGCUGCUGGUUGACAAAUCCCAAGAUUGGCUCUACGUUAAAGCCACUGACCAUCAAUAUCCCGUUCGGGAUACUAAAGUAUUUAUUUUGUGUUGACAUGUAAACAUCAAAUCCUGUUUUACAAAAACCUGAGAAAGCUUGUACCCUGGAGAUGGGCUACUGUGGCAUGUAACCAUCAAUUCUGUUUUUGUGGUGAAACGUCUCAUGGUUGUCUGACUCUGUCAAAUUCAUUUAAAGUGGGCUACUUGCUCAAUUUGAUCCACCAUUACUGAGCUUAAUGGCUAUGUUCACCCCUAAUUUAGAAAAGUUUCUGCUUACUUCCUUUUGGUAGGCCAUUUGUCAACUAUAUUUUAAUACAUGCAGCUUCUCUUCUGUCAUAACUUGUUGCCCCAGAAGACUAAAGUAGUGCUCACAAAUCUCUUACAUUGCUAGAAUAAAUGCAUUAGUCAUCUUAACAGGUAAAAUGAUUUAAGGACCAGGUAGCAUGCUAGAACACAGUGGAAACAUUGGUCCUGUGCCAAAUGUCAUUUUGACAGAUUUUAAGGAAAUGGAAUGCUGAGAAUGGUAACUUCAGUUAGUCUUGGGUGUGUAUUGAAUGUGAUUGAAAUGCGGUCUGCUUGCAAGUGUCAAAGAUGACACAUUACAUGUUCAUUUUCC
ensembl:lncRNA